UACGAGGGGGGCAAAUGUUGUUCGGAAUCACUGGGCGUAAAGGGAGCGUAGGCGGGUUUUAAGUCAGGUGUUUAAUCCCGGGGCCCAACCCCGGACAGGCACUUGAAACUGGGAAUCUUGAAUAGUGGAGAGGUCAGUGGAAUUGGGGGUGUAGCGGUGGAAUGCGUAGAGAUCGGGAGGAACACCGGUGGCGAAGGCGGCGAUCUGGGUCGAUACUGACGCUGAGGUGCGAAAGCGUGGGGAGCGAACAGG
rnacentral:rRNA from 1 species